rnacentral:lncRNA from 1 species
CUCUUCUAAAUCAUAGUAAGGGUUAUAAAGGCCAUUUGUAAGCAAAAUUUCAUAGCUCAUUAAAAAACAUCACAGAAGAAAAAAAUGUACCCUUUGAUCUUCUUCAUUCUUCUCUCUUUCUUUGGCCCAGUAAGUUUCAUUCUAGCUAGGGAGAAGCAAGAAGAGAGAAGAUGUAGACAGAGAAAACUUUCGGAGCUCCAGGGAUCAGUGAAAAAGAUUGUGCAUCCAAUUGCAUGGGCUUCUCAAAUUAGACCAAAGAUUAUUUCAAAGCUGCAAGCUGAAGAUAGAAGAAAAUGAACACCAGCAAAAAAGAACUGAAUUCAGAGAUUCAGUACCCAGCCAGUUGUCCUCUGUCUUGUUGCUCUCGCUGGAUAUCUGUGGCUAUGCAAGAAUUUAAAAAGUGUAUUCACAUACCCCAUGAGAAGGAUUUCUAAAAAUGCUUGUUCCUUGUCUGAAAGGAAUAUGAAGAAGAGAGGAAAUAGAGAGCUCCUUCAUCUUACACCUAAAUGAAACGGACCUCACCUAGGCCCCAAGCUUUACAGGGCCUCUCAGGUCACAGACUGACCAAAAUAAAUUUACUUGCAUUUGAAUCAAAACUACCAUGAGAUACCACCUCACACCAGUCAGAAUGGCCAUCAUUAAUAAAUGGGAUUCGUUACCACUUAGCCACAGCAGGAACUCCCCAGUUAACUUUUUAUAACAGAAUAUGUUAUU